rnacentral:rRNA from 1 species
AGAGUUUGAUCCUGGCUCAGGAUGAACGCUGGCGGCGUGCUUAACACAUGCAAGUCGAACGAUGAUCCCCAGCUUGCUGGGGGGAUUAGUGGCGAACGGGUGAGUAACACGUGAGUAACCUGCCCAAGACUCUGGGAUAAGCCUGGGAAACUGGGUCUAAUACUGGAUGCCGACUUUCCGCCGCAUGGUGGGGGGUUGAAAGGCUUUUGUUGGUUUUGGAUGGACUCGCGGCCUAUCAGCUUGUUGGUGGGGUAAUGGCCUACCAAGGCGACGACGGGUAGCCGGCCUGAGAGGGUGACCGGCCACACUGGGACUGAGACACGGCCCAGACUCCUACGGGAGGCAGCAGUGGGGAAUAUUGCACAAUGGGCGAAAGCCUGAUGCAGCGACGCCGCGUGAGGGAUGACGGCCUUCGGGUUGUAAACCUCUUUCAGUAGGGAACAAGGCCGGGCUUUGUCUGGUUGAGGGUACUUGCAGAAGAAGCGCCGGCUAACUACGUGCCAGCAGCCGCGGUAAUACGUAGGGCGCAAGCGUUAUCCGGAAUUAUUGGGCGUAAAGAGCUCGUAGGCGGUUUGUCGCGUCUGCCGUGAAAGUCCGGGGCUCAACCCCGGAUCUGCGGUGGGUACGGGCAGACUAGAGUGAUGUAGGGGAGACUGGAAUUCCUGGUGUAGCGGUGAAAUGCGCAGAUAUCAGGAGGAACACCGAUGGCGAAGGCAGGUCUCUGGGCAUUAACUGACGCUGAGGAGCGAAAGCAUGGGGAGCGAACAGGAUUAGAUACCCUGGUAGUCCAUGCCGUAAACGUUGGGCACUAGGUGUGGGGGACAUUCCACGUUUUCCGCGCCGUAGCUAACGCAUUAAGUGCCCCGCC